GAUGGACGCUGGCGGCGUGCCUAAUACAUGCCAGUCGAGCGAACAGACGAGGAGCUUGCUCCUCUGACGUUAGCGGCGGACGGGUGAGUAACACGUGGAUAACCUACCUAUAAGACUGGGAUAACUUCGGGAAACCGGAGCUAAUACCGGAUAAUAUAUUGAACCGCAUGGUUCAAUAGUGAAAGACGGUUUUGCUGUCACUUAUAGAUGGAUCCGCGCCGCAUUAGCUAGUUGGUAAGGUAACGGCUUACCAAGGCAACGAUGCGUAGCCGACCUGAGAGGGUGAUCGGCCACACUGGAACUGAGACACGGUCCAGACUCCUACGGGAGGCAGCAGUAGGGAAUCUUCCGCAAUGGGCGAAAGCUUGACGGAGCAACGCCGCGUGAGUGAUGAAGGUCUUCGGAUCGUAAAACUCUGUUAUUAGGGAAGAACAAAUGUGUAAGUAACUAUGCACGUCUUGACGGUACCUAAUCAGAAAGCCACGGCUAACUACGUG
rnacentral:rRNA from 1 species